ACAUGGUUCCUGUUGCGGUUAUGGGUCGAGAGAUUGAAUCUCCGCAUACGUGAGGUAUUGUCCGCUUUGGCUCACGAUCAUUUUUAGCUUCAGUCGAGUCGAUUCAGAUCAGGGCAAGUUGGCUCGGACCUUGAGAGAACCGACUCGAACAGAUAAAUGGAAAGAACUUGUGGCAUGGUAAGCUGCUGGCACACGGCCGAACCGACUGGAGGUUUAGUCGAGUCAACUUGAGUGCAGGG
rnacentral:lncRNA from 1 species